AUGGGUGGGGUAGGCAGGAUGGACCGGGACGGGGAUACUGCUGAGGCUGCUGAUGAGAACGCUGGUGGUGGUGGUGACCAAGGCACGGGGGCUGAUGGUGUUCACGGUGGAGCAGACUGCCAAGGUCUUGGUGACCUCCGCCAUGGAGCAGCAGUGCAGCCUAUGAAUGUGUGCAGCUCCAUGAGCAUGGCCUUUUCGUACUCCGCGCUCACCGCCUUAAUCGCAGCCUGCCACAUGGUUGACGAUGCACUCUUCCCUAUCUGCCUUCGGUUCAGUCUCAUUGUGAUGUAUGCUGCCACAGGCACCAGGUGA
rnacentral:rRNA from 1 species